UGAAGUCACUACGAGCAAUAGAUGGUGAAUAGCAUUAACGGGUUUUAAGAAAAUAAUGAAGAGAGUAUUAAAUUAUCGCAAACUUAUAUAGAGAGUUAAUUAUGUUUUAUAAAAGAUGAAUACAACGAAAAAGAGUGUUAACGAAGAAAAACAAAAUUCAUCGAUUCCUACAUAUCGUCUUAAUGAAGCUCCAAAAAAAUGCAAUUUAUCUUUUUCAAUUAAUUUUGAUUUUGACUAUACAAACAGUGAUAAUUCGUCUGAUUCCGAGACAGCUGAUUUACAAAUAGAUAUUUCAGAAAUCGAUAAUGAUGAUCCACCAACUAAACAUAAAAGAGAAUCAGUCAAAGAAACGUCGGUUCUUAACGAAAUGGAAGAAGAAAUUGAAAGACAACUUGAUGCUAAAGCAGCAAAAACUAAUCUAACUGCCACGAAUGUAAAAAAUAUAUUAAAACGUGUUAUUACAAAUAAUGAACAAGUAAUGGCUGUGGUACAGAAACGUUUACAUGAUACAGAAGAAGAUAUCAUUUUUGAACCUAAACUCACAAGAGCUAAAGCAAAAGAAUUAGGUGCUGUAGAACAAGUUAAUGUAUUAUGGAACACUAGGCCAGUUAAGAAACCACCGUUACAAGUAUUAAUAGAUGAAGAAUUCCCAGAAGAUUCUUCUGACGAAGAAUAUAAGCCAGAGCAAGAUAAACAAAGUGAUGAUGAUAGAGAAAUAGAAAAUUCCGCCAGUGGUGAUGUAGAGUCACAACUACCUAUCCCAGUACAUGAACUUGAUUCAGCUGUACAAAAAAAACCUAAAUCACCUAAUAUUCAAUAUGAUCCAGAGGGGAUUUUUAAAAUUCCUUGCUUACCUUGUGUACCAACAGAAGAAGAAAGUAUUGGUCAUAGAACACGUUCUAAACUUUGCUUAAGUGAAACACCGUUAGAACAAAUUGAACAAGCAUUUGUGCCCCCUGAUAUUACAACAGAUAUGUAUGAUUCUGAUUGCGAUGAAGAUUGGGGUAAUUUUUUGAAAGAAUUUACACAACCUUUAGAACAAGAACAUACUGCAGAAGAUGAUCCAGAAGCUGAUCCUGAAUAUAAUAUUUUAGAAGAUGAAGAAACAGAUUUAUUGGAUAAAGAAGAAUUAAGAGCCGAUAAAGAUGUCGAAAUUACUUUUAAAGAGUUAAUUGAUUUGUUUGAGUUUACAGAUACAUUUAUCAAACAAGAAGAACAAGAAGUAUCUAAGAAAAGGAAAUUAUCAGAAAAUAUAGAUACACCUGUUGAAAAGAACACAUUGAAUCAUUCUGAACUUUCAAUGUUAGUAAACUUUGAGCAACGCCAUUUACUAGCUAUUCAAUUUCAACAACAUGUUCAACUAUUGGCACAACAUUUUGCUAUGACAUACAUGCACCCAGAUUUACAUAUCCUCUCAAAAAAAUGUAAAGAAUGCUUAAAUAACAUAAGAAAUUUAAAUAAUGGGCCAAAUUCUGCAUUCAAUAUAGAAAAUGUAUUUGAUGCUUUAAAGUUAGUCUCUGAUUGGGAAAAUAAAUUUUUGGAUCCAAAAUUUCAUGAAGAAUUUAAAAAACAUAUAGAGGAUGAAAAUACUAUAAAAACAAAACAUCUUAAAAAUAGAUGGGAAUAUAUACCUCAAUUUUCUCCUGAUCUAAUAAAAUUAUUUAUUGAAAGUAAAGCUUUGAUAUAUCCACAACUUCUACCAGAUAUACCAUUCAAAAGUGAAUUAACUAAAUAUACAAAGUUACCAUUUUUAAAAACUGAAGAAACUUUAAUUGCAAUAGGCCUUGAACAAUUCUUCCCAUUUGUGGCAUCUCGAAAAACAAAAUUUAAAAGUAAAAAGUUCCAAUUAUUUGAUGUGGCUCAAUUAAUUGCUAAACAUUUACUACCUGUUAGAGAAUCCAAAAAAAUAUUUUUCUAUAUUCGAAGACAACGUUCUGCCAAAGAUUCAAAUCCAAUUAAGCGUUAUUUUGACAAGGGUAUAGCUCCCAGAAUAGUACACUGUAUAACAUUAAAAUGUGAUCUUAAAGCACCGAUACAUCAGCCAAUACAUCUUUUACCUCCAAAAUGGCAGAAUUAUCUUACUAAUACUAAACCAAAAGUGGAUCUUUUAAAAUCUAAACGUAUUCUGAAUUCAUAUAAUGAUAUAUCUAAGAUUGAAAAUCUAAUAAAUAAUAACUUCUAUCUAUAUCCUUAUGUUUCAAAACAUCAUCCACUACGAAAUCCAGUUGUAAAUGUUUUGCCUAAAAUAAUGCCAAAUUCGAAACUUUUAUUAAAUAAUAUAAUAGCAAGAAAUGCAUCACAUGCUCAAGGAAAAUCUGAUAUUCAUACAGCUAGAUCACAACAACCAUGUGAUAUUAGCAAUACUAAAAAAAUGUUAAAUAAAAGUACUGAAAAUGCAGAUAAAAGUGCAAUAACAAAUAAGGAAGAUAAACAAAGUGAAUCGAUUAAUUCAUUAAAUGUAGAAAUAAAAAACACGAAACUAACAAAAAAGUCAAGUGAAGCAUUAUUGCAAUCUCCACAAAUACGAAAAACAACUCCACGUUUGGCAAAAACAAAGAGUGCACAAAAUAUGAAACUAAUGGCUCAAGGUUUAGGAUCAAAAAAUGUAUCUAAUUGCAGUAAUGCAAAGACUAGAGGAAAGGGAGAUCUGGAAAAAAAUUUGGAGUGUUCUACUGAUUCAUCAAAAGUUGAUAAUGAGGAUGAAAUUGCAGAACUUAUGUUAGCAAGCACUACUAUUAAAAAAGAUAAUAGAAAGAAGGCUAAACAGGCUAGAGAAUUAGAAAAUAUAAAGAGAUUAUUGGAAGCUGAUAAUCUUUUGAAUGAAGGAGAAAGAGAAGAAAAAUUCGCAGCAUCAUAUCUUCAGAAAUUACACUUGACAUUGGAAUCUAAUAAUCCAGAUAUUUUAAAAAUUGUAAUUAAAUUAAUAUUAGAUUACAAUGACAAAAUUGAGAAUCUUAAUCAAUUGGAACAUGAAAUCUCUUUUUCUAAAAAAUAUGAAUCCUCUGAGAUGCAAGAAGUGAUAGAAAAGAACAUGAUAACUAGAGAUAAAUUAGCUAUAGAUUUAUAUCAAAAUAUUUAUGAUAAAUUACGAGAUUUUCCAGAAUUGUGUUCAGAUUUGUUGUUAUUUUUAAAACCACAUCAAGCUGCAUUAAUAGGCAAAUCUGUAGAAUAUAUAAUGUUACAAAAAAUGAGUGAAUUUUUAAACGUCAUACAAGUCUAUUUUACUAAGCAGCCAUCUCGGCUUGCAAAAAUAAUGCAGGCCAUUACACAACUUUCAUCUGAUCCUCAUGUAACAUUAGAGAAUGUUCAUAAUAUUAUGAUUCCACUUCUCAAGGCACAUCCCUUAGUUCUGGAUCUAUUUUUACAAAUAUUACCUAAUGGUAAACCUCCAGAAAGUUUAUUUGCAGUAGAUAUGUUUGAAAAUUUAACUUUCCCACUGGGUCCUCAUGAUAAAAAUAAAGUAUAUACAGAUGAUGCACCAGAAUUAUAUGAGAAUAUAGAAUUACCAAUGUCAGUUUCCCAAGAAGACCCUUAUGGUGGAGAUAAUUGUAAAUGUGAUUGUCAUAAUGCAGAUGACUCAAAUAACAGAAAUACUAAUGAACAUUGUAUAUCUUGUGGAACUAGGUUUCUUAAUGGAAGAAUAUAUCUUCAAACUUCUGAAGGCUUACGUCCUGCAAAAAUAACAUUCCCAGGAGCUGAUAAAGAGAAAUUAGAAAAUAUUGCAAGAGUGUCUUUAAAAGUUGCUGAUAAAUUUACACCACCUAUUGCAUCUAGACAACGUCGAAAAUCUUCGAAAGCCGAUAUUGGCGACGAUUCAUGUCAAAAACAAUGUCUUCCCAAAAAUUCACCUGUGAAAGAAAAUGAAGAUAACGAAAGAACUAUAUCAAGAUCUAAAAGAGGUACGAAAUCACCACCCAAAUCCGGAGAACCAAAAAAAUCAUUGAAAAAAGUAACAUUUACUGAUGAAAUAAUAUCUACUAAAAAGGCAUACUCUCCACAAUCUAUAAAUAAACGUGAAAAGAAGAUAGAACGAAAGACGCGGUUGGAACAAAAUUCUUAUGAUAAUUCAUGUUCAGAAAGUGACUAUACCUCCAAAUGUGUUACAAUUGAAAAUAUAUUUGAAAAAGAAAUAUCUUCAAAGGAUAAAAUGUUCAUGAACAAGAACAUGGAACAUGAUAUGAAAGAUAAUAUUAUGUCGCCUAGUCCAGAAAAAGAUAGAGAUAUAAUAAGUAGUAGCAGAAGUUUCGAAAAAAUGGAUGUUUCAAAUGAUUGUGAUUCUGAUACAAAUUCUGAAAUGGAAUUUAUUAAUGACAAACCUUGGACACGGCAAGAAGAUAUGAUCCUUCUUUUAGCCAUUAAGGAAGAGUAUUCGGAAAAUACAUUUUUGAAGGUUAGCCAACAAUUGGAAGAUCGUACCAUUGAACAGGUUAAGGAAAGAUGCAAAACAUUACUUUCUUUGUUAGAGCAAAUGUUAUAAUUAUUAGUCAAAGAGAUCUGUGAAUUUUAUUUUGUGUACAUAAGACAUUUAACGUGAUUGGAGAAAGUGCUAUGAAAUGUAUCAUACAAGACGUUUACUACUAUGAAUCAAGAACUUAAGAUUAGAUAUAAAGAAAAACAUUUUUAAAAGCAUCAGUUUACAGUCAUAACGUAAUUUACAAUAAAACAUUCCUAUAAUUAAUGUAAUAAAGUUCCUUAAAAUUUGUAUAGUCUAAGGUUUUUUUUUUCAAAAGCAAGAAAUA